rnacentral:misc_RNA from 1 species
AACGCAAAUUGCGCUCGAGGCUUCGACCAAGAGCAUGUCUGCCUCAGCGUCGGGGUAAUACUCAUUCAACUAACCCAUCAUUGCGGUUAGGGGAGUGGAUCUGGCUGUCUCGGUGCAUUACAAAUACUAAUACAACGGGUCAGCUGAAGUGGGCAGAUGUCAAACCAUGGACCGCUACAACAAGCCUCUACUGGGUAGGCAACUCGCUUGCUGAAAUGCUUUAGUAGAUGGCUUGGGUGCUGUGUUUGGCACAAAGCAGGAGUACUUGCUCGUACAAGUACGACACCCCUAUUUUCUCGACCUGAGCUCAGGCAAGAUUACCCGCUGAACUUAA